AGAGUUUGAUCCUGGCUCAGAACGAACGUUAGCGGCGCGCUUAACACAUGCAAGUCGCACGAGAAAGGGCUUCGGCCCCAGUACAGUGGCGCACGGGUGAGUAACACGUGGGUAAUGUUCCCUCGGGCGGGGGAUAACCUUCCGAAAGGAGGGCUAAUACCGCAUAAGACCACGAUCUCGAAAGGGAUCGGGGUAAAAGCAGGCCUCUGCACGCAAGCUUGCACCUGAGGAUCAGCCCGCGGCCCAUCAGCUAGUUGGCAGGGUAAUGGCCUACCAAGGCUAAGACGGGUAGCUGGUCUGAGAGGAUGAUCAGCCACACUGGAACUGAGACGCGGUCCAGACUCCUACGGGAGGCAGCAGUGGGGAAUCUUGCGCAAUGGGCGAAAGCCUGACGCAGCGACGCCGCGUGGGUGAUGAAGGCCUUCGGGUUGUAAAGCCCUGUGGGGAGAGACGAAUAAGUCGGAGCCAACACCUCCGGCGAUGACGGUAUCUCCUUAGCAAGCACCGGCUAACUCUGUGCCAGCAGCCGCGGUAAGACAGAGGGUGCAAACGUUGUUCGGAAUUACUGGGCGUAAAGCGUGUGUAGGCGGCCGUGCAAGUCGGAUGUGAAAUCCCCGGGCUCAACCCGGGAAGUGCA
rnacentral:rRNA from 1 species